UACAGAGGUCCCAAGCGUUGUUCGGAUUCACUGGGCGUAAAGGGUGCGUAGGCGGUUCGAUAAGUCGGACGUGAAAUCUCCACGCUCAACGUGGAGGGGCCGUUCGAUACUGUCGUGACUCGAGUCCGGUAGGGGAGUGUGGAAUUCCCGGUGUAGCGGUGAAAUGCGCAGAGAUCGGGAGGAACACCCGUAGCGAAGGCGGCACUCUGGGCCGGUACUGACGCUGAGGAGCGAAAGCGUGGGGAGCAAACAGG
rnacentral:rRNA from 1 species